GGGGGUGUAGCUCCAAUUGGCAGAGCAGCGGAUUCCAAAUCCGCGUGUUGGGAGUUCGAAUCUCUCCACCCCCC
rnacentral:tRNA from 2 species